GUGGGGAAUCUUCCGCAAUGGACGAAAGUCUGACGGAGCAACGCCGCGUGAGUGAAGAAGGUUUUCGGAUCGUAAAGCUCUUUCGUUAGGGACGAACGUGCUCUUUGUGAAUAAUGAGGAGUAAUGACGGUACCUAAAUAAGAAGCCACGGCUAACUACGUGCCAGCAGCCGCGGUAAUACGUAGGUGGCAAGCGUUGUCCGGAAUUAUUGGGCGUAAAGCGCGCGCAGGCGGGAUAUCAAGUCUGUCUUAAAAGUGCGAGGCUCAACCUCGUGAGGGGACAGAAACUGGUAUUCUUGAGUGUCGGAGAGGAAAGUGGAAUUCCAAGUGUAGCGGUGAAAUGCGUAGAGAUUUGGAAGAACACCAGUGGCGAAGGCGACUUUCUGGACGAUGUCUGACGCUGAGGCGCGAAAGCCAGGGGAGCGAACGGGAUUAGAUACCCCAGUAGUCC
rnacentral:rRNA from 1 species